rnacentral:rRNA from 1 species
UACGGAGGAGGCAAGCGUUAUCCGGAAUUAUUGGGCGUAAAGCGUCCGCAGGUGGCACCUCAAGUCUGCUGUCAAAGACCGGGGCUUAACCCCAGAAAGGCAGUGGAAACUGAAGUGCUAGGGUGCAGUAGGGGUAGAGGGAAAUCCCGGUGUAGCGGUGAAAUGCGUAGAGAUCGGGAAGAACAUCGGUGGCGAAAGCGCUCUGCUGGACUGCAACUGACACUCAGGGACGAAAGCUAGGGGAGCGAAUGGG